rnacentral:rRNA from 1 species
GUAGUCAUAUGCUUGUCUCAAAGCUUAAGCCAUGCAAGUCUCAGUACGAGCUGACUUAAAGUGAAACCGCAAAAGGCUCAGUAAACCGGUCAUAGUUUACCGGAUAUAUGCCACUCACGUGGAUAACUGUGGUAAUUCUAGAGCUAAUACAUGAUAACAAGUCCCGACCAGCGAUGGAGAGGACGCUUUUAUUGGAUCAAAACCAUUCGCCCGGGUUAGCCCGGGCGUUGGCUUGAUGAAUCUAGAUAACACCGCAGAUCGCACGGUCAUAGUACCGGUGACGUAUCCUUCAAAUGUCUGACUUAUCAGCUGUCGAUGGUAGACUCUGUGUCUACCAUGGCGCUCACGGGUGACGGGGAAUCAGGGUUCGAUUCCGGAGAGGGAGCCUGAGAAACGGCUACCACAUCCAAGGAAGGCAGCAGGCACGCAAAUUACCCACUCCCGGCACGGGGAGGUAGUGACAAAAAAUAACGAUACGGGACUCAUCCGAGGCCCCGUAAUCGGAAUGAGAACACACUAAAUCCUUUAACAAAAAUCUAUUGGAGGGAAAGUCUAGUGCCAGCAGCCGCGGUAACACCAGCUCCAAUAGCGUAUAUUAAAGUUGUUGCGGUUAAAAAGCUCGUAGUUGGUUCUGCGUGCCACGCUGUCGGUUCACCGCCUGCCGGUGCAACUGGCACGCCGUGGCAUGUCCUGUCGGUGGCGGACGGACCGGGUUCAGGGUCUCAUGCGGCAACGUGUGGGUCGCCCUAGGACACGUGCUCCUUACGCCGGCUCAAUCCUACCGCGGUGCUCUUCACCGAGUGUCGAGGUAGGCCGACACUGUUUACUUUGAACAAAUUAGAGUGCUUCAAGCAGGCUCUUAAAUCAGCCUGGAUAGUGGUGCAUGGAAUAAUGGAACAGGACCUUGGUUCUAUUUUGUUGGUUUUCGGAAUCCAAGGUAAUGAUCAAUAAGGACAGGCGGGGGCAUUCGUAUUGCGACGUUAGAGGUGAAAUUCUUGGAUCGUCGCAAGACGCACUAAAGCGAAAGCAUUUGCCAAGUAUGUCUUAAUUGAUCAAGAACGAAAGUUAGAGGUUCGAAGGCGAUCAGAUACCGCCCUAGUUCUAACCAUAAACGAUGUCAGCUAGCGAUCCGCCGACGUUCCUCCGAUGACUCGGCGGGGAGCUUUCCCCGGGAAACCAAAGCUUUUGGGAAGUAUGGUUGCAAAGCUGAAACUUAAAGGAAUUGACGGAAGGGCACUACCAGGAGUGGAGCCUGCGGCUUAAUUUGACUCAACACGCGAAAAUUUACCAGGCCCGGACAUUGGAAGGAUUGACAGAUCGAUAGCUCUUUCUCGAUUCAGUGGGUAGUGGUGCAUGGCCGUUCCUAGUUGGUGGUUGUGAUUUGUCUGGUUAAUUCCGAUAACGAACGAGACUCUGACCUAUUAACUAGGCGAUACCGGUAUAAAUAGCUACCGGCGAGAUUUAUUCUUCUUAAGGGGACAGGCGGCUCUUAGCCGCACGAGAUUGAGCGAUAACAGGUCUGUGAUGCCCUUAGAUGUUCUGGGCCGCACGCGCGCUACACUGAAGGAAUCAGCGUGUGUAUCCCUGUCCGAAAGGUCCGGGUAACCCGUUGAACCUCCUUCGUGCUAGGAAUUGGGGCUUGCAAUUGUUCCCCAUGAACGAGGAAUUCCCAGUAAGCGUAAGUCAUAAGCUUUCGUUGAUUACGUCCCUGCCCUUUGUGCACACCGCCCGUCGCUACCUCCGAUUGAAUGAUUUAGUGAGGUCUUCGGACCGGCGAUAACCGGCACCGAUUCGUUCGGUAUCGAUUUCGCUGGAAAGAUGACCGAACUUGAUCAUUUAGAGGAAGUAAAAGUCGUAACAAGGUUUCCGUAGGUGAACCUGCGGA